rnacentral:tRNA from 1 species
GCGGGUAUAACUCAGUGGUAGAGUGUCAGCCUUCCAAGCUGUUCGUCGUCGGUUCGAAUCCGUCUACCCGCUCAA